rnacentral:RNase_P_RNA from 1 species
ACUGCAGGUGGCUUUAUCGCGGAUUUGAUUAUAUCAAAGACGAGGAAAGUCCGGACAACGUAGAGCACCACACCACCUAACGGGUGGGUUCUUGAUACCUGUAUCGAGAAACAGAAAGUGUCACAGAAAAUAAGUAGCCAGCAUUUACUCGUAAAUACCGGUCAUAGUGAAAUCGUGUGGUAAGAGCGCACGGGCAAGUUUAGUAAUAAGCUUGUCGGAUAAACCUUGUGGGUUGAAAUGCCAUGUAUAUUUCGGUAUCCAUUCGUGGAUUAGGGUUGCUCGCCCAAAAGGAAUAACUGCCGAAAAGGGUAGGCAGAUACAACUUAUCGGCAACGAUGAGUGUAGAUAAAUGAUAAAGGCUUUACUGAAAAGUGAAGAACAGAAUCCGGCUUAUAAGCCUGCAGUUUUU